rnacentral:rRNA from 1 species
CACGUAGGGUGUGAGCGUUGUCCGGAAUUAUUGGGCGUAAAGGGUGCGUAGGCGGUGCGGUAAGUCUGUAGUGAAAUCUCUGGGCUCAACUCAGAGUCUGCUAUAGAAACUGCCGUGCUUGAGUGUGGAAGAGGAGAGUGGAAUUCCCGGUGUAGCGGUGAAAUGCGCAGAUAUCGGGAAGAACACCUAUGGCGAAGGCAGCUCUCUGGGACGGUACUGACGCUGAGACGCGAAAGCGUGGGGAGCGAACAGG